rnacentral:rRNA from 1 species
UGGGGAAUAUUGCACAAUGGGCGCAAGCCUGAUGCAGCCAUGCCGCGUGUGUGAAGAAGGCCUUCGGGUUGUAAAGCACUUUCAGCGAGGAGGAAGGUGGUGAGCUUAAUACGCUCAUCAAUUGACGUUACUCGCAGAAGAAGCACCGGCUAACUCCGUGCCAGCAGCCGCGGUAAUACGGAGGGUGCAAGCGUUAAUCGGAAUUACUGGGCGUAAAGCGCACGCAGGCGGUUUGUUAAGUCAGAUGUGAAAAUCCCCGGGCUCAACCUGGGAACUGCAUUUGAAACUGGCAAGCUAGAGUCUCGUAGAGGGGGGUAGAAUUCCAGGUGUAGCGGUGAAAUGCNGUAGAGUCUGGAGGAAUACCGGUGGCGAAGGCGGCCCCCUGGACGAAGACUGACGCUCAGGUGCCGAAAGCGUGGGGAGCAAACAGGAUUAGANACCCUGGUAAGUCCACGCUGUAAAACGAUGUCGAUUUGGAGGUUGUGCCCUUGAGGCGUGGCUUCCGGAGCUAACGCGUUAAAUCGACCGCCUGGGGAGUACGGCCGCAAG